rnacentral:rRNA from 1 species
UGAUAGAAAUUUAAAUACUUUUUAAAGUAUCAAUUGGAGGGCAAGUCUGGUGCCAGCAGCCGCGGUAAUUCCAGCUCCAAUAGCGUAUAUUAAAAUUGUUGCAGUUAAAAAGCUCGUAGUUGAAUUUUUGCUAGAAAUAACCGGUCUGCUUUUAUUUAUAAGAGUGGUAUCUUGGUGUGUUUUUAGCAAUAAUAUCCUUUGGAAUGUUUUUUACUUUAUUGUAAAAAGCAAUUUUGAGGAUUUUUACUUUGAGAAAAUUAGAGUGUUUCAAGCAGGCUAACGUUUUGAAUACUGCAGCAUGGAAUAAUAAAAUAGGAUUUUAGUUCUACGUUAUUGGUUUUAAGAACUAAAUUAAUGAUUGAUAGGAGCAGUUGGGGGCAUUUGUAUUU